GAUGACCGCUGGCGGCGUGCUUAACACAUGCAAGUCGAACGAUGAAGCCCAGCUUGCUGGGUGGAUUAGUGGCGAACGGGUGAGUAACACGUGAGUAACCUGCCCUUAACUCUGGGAUAAGCCUGGGAAACUGGGUCUAAUACCGGAUAGGAGCGUCCACCGCAUGGUGGGUGUUGGAAAGAUUUAUCGGUUUUGGAUGGACUCGCGGCCUAUCAGCUUGUUGGUGAGGUAAUGGCUCACCAAGGCGACGACGGGUAGCCGGCCUGAGAGGGUGACCGGCCACACUGGGACUGAGACACGGCCCAGACUCCUACGGGAGGCAGCAGUGGGGAAUAUUGCACAAUGGGCGCAAGCCUGAUGCAGCGACGCCGCGUGAGGGAUGACGGCCUUCGGGUUGUAAACCUCUUUCAGUAGGGAAGAAGCGAAAGUGACGGUACCUGCAGAAGAAGCACCGGCUAACUACGUG
rnacentral:rRNA from 1 species